AGUGAAACGUAACUCCACCCCCCGGCAUCCAUUUCUGAACUGAGGUACACGGCGCUAGCGAAGAGAAUCCUCGAUUUUAUGUAUAUUUCUUCAUGUAUAUCACUGUAGAUUAUCUUCAGAAAAUUCGCGACAUAAAACUAAAGUAGCCACUAGUCUGUGAAAUAGUAGCAUAUAUUAUCCGUUGAACCCGUUCGGACAGAGGCAAGAGUUGAAGCUCGCCUUUUAUUUCACGUUUAACUUUCCUAAGCGGCGUGUUCAGCCGUUUUUUUUCUUCUUCCUUUGCCCCGCUCACUCUCCCCCCUGUGUGAGUAGUGGCCUGUAACGUUGAUUUAGCCACGAGGCGGGUCGGAUCAACCGGAAUUGGGCGAUGGCGGAGUUCGGUAACGGACUGGACUCAGGAAUGACGGAGGAAUCCCUACUGGACUCAGACCCAGGGCACCCAGAACUAGAAGACCCGGGUGUUGGCGAUGAGGAGCCGGGAUUAGAGGAAGGAGAAGCUGCAAUUGAGGACCCGGAGCUGGAGGCAAUCAAAGCCCGGGUGCGAGAGAUGGAGGAGGAAGCAGAAAAGCUGAAGGAGUUACAGAACGAGGUGGAGAAACAGAUGAACCUUAGCCCUCCACCAGCCGGUCCCGUCAUCAUGUCCAUCGAGGAGAAAAUGGAAGCCGACGCAAGAUCAAUCUACGUUGGAAACGUGGAUUACGGCGCCACGGCGGAGGAGCUAGAAGCCCACUUCCACGGCUGCGGCUCCGUCAACAGAGUCACCAUCCUGUGCGACAAGUUCACAGGGCAUCCCAAAGGGUUUGCCUAUAUCGAGUUUUCAGACAAGGAGUCUGUGAGGACGGCCAUGGCAUUGGACGAGUCUCUGUUCAGAGGAAGGCAGAUUAAGGUGGGGGUGAAGAGGACCAACAGGCCAGGCAUCAGCACCACAGACCGCGGGUUCCCCCGGGCCCGCUUCCGCUCACGAGGAGGCAACUUUAACUCGUCACGUGCACGUUACUACAGUGGCUACGCACCGCCCAGAGGCAGAGGACGGGCCUUCAGGUGAGCACCCUGAGAUUGGGAGACAGCUGGCCAUUGCCGGAGGGAGGAGGAAUAUGGAGAAGUGAAGGGGCAGAAGACUGAGUAGUGAGAUUAUAGAAGUAGUGGGGGAUGAUCAGAACAGGAGAUGGUUAGCGGGGAGAGAGAAGAGGACCCCCUGAAGUGUUGUUAGCCCCGGGAGGGGGAGGGGGGGGGGGGGCUAGCCCCGGGGGGUGAAUGCUCAUAGCAUCCCCUGUCCUAGACUCUGUCCAUCAAGAUGUGUCUAUGGGCUGAAACUGGCCAUAUAGAGAAUCAUUGAGAAGGCAUGUCAGUAGUGGGAGGAGACUGAAUCUGUGGCUGACAUUGAUGAACAUCACUACAGCCAUAUCAGUGAAGGUGUUUCCACAGCAGAGUGGAGGAAAGGUUUCCUUUAGAGUGGGAUUAUGUUGAGUGGUUUCCUUUAGUGGGGUUGUGGAGCGAGAGAGACCGGUGGGAGGGAUCCGGGUAGGUUAGUUGGGGUGUGUGUGUGGUCUUGUUGCAUGCACCACCUAUAACUGUUUCAGAGGAGGCAGCUAAACUCUCAGCCCACAGCAGUGAGGUCCUCCCAGGCUGUACAUGUAUGGGAGGCAGGCUGUUUGUAUGGCUUGGCGCUACAUUACAUAUACACACUGACUGUGAGUGGGCAUCUCUCCCACAGUGCUGCUCAUUAAUGCUAAAGGUGACAGGCAAAGAGUUUCACUUAAAUGUCAGUUUGUUCUCAUUUGUUCAGUGCUAAUGGUCAGAUUCUAUUUGAUCAUUAAGAUGCCGUGAAGAUUUAAAUGCAAACACAUUCAUCUUUGUAGAUGCGUUGCUUAAACAUUAAUUGGCAUGUGUAUCUAUAGUUCAGUUGUUCUAAUGAUGUACCAGUGUUGAGCAGUAGCCUGUAUCCAUCCUGUGUUCCAUCUCAUCAACGCAGUGCUGCGUGUUCACCUGUCCUGGGCCAGCUGCGUGUUCACCUGUCCUGGGCCAGCUGCGUGUUCACCUGUCCUGGGCCAGCUGCGUGUUCACCUGUCCUGGGCCAGCUGCGUGUUCACCUGUCCUGGGCCAGCUGCGUGUUCACCUGUCCUGGGCCAGCUGCGUGUUCACCUGUCCUGGGCCAGCUGCGUGUUCACCUGUCCUGGGCCAGCUGCGUGUUCACCUGUCCUGGGCCAGCUGCGUGUUCACCUGUCCUGGGCCAGCUGCGUGUUCACCUGUCCUGGGCCAGCUGCGUGUUCACCUGUCCUGGGCCAGCUGCGUGUUCACCUGUCCUGGGCCAGCUGCGUGUUCACCUGUCCUGGGCCAGCUGCGUGUUCACCUGUCCUGGGCCAGCUGCGUGUUCACCUGUCCUGGGCCAGCUGCGUGUUCACCUGUCCUGGGCCAGCUGCGUGUUCACCUGUCCUGGGCCAGCUGCGUGUUCACCUGUCCUGGGCCAGCUGCGUGUUCACCUGUCCUGGGCCAGCUGCGUGUUCACCUGUCCUGGGCCAGCUGCGUGUUCACCUGUCCUGGGCCAGCUGCGUGUUCACCUGUCCUGGGCCAGCUGCGUGUUCACCUGUCCUGGGCCAGCUGCGUGUUCACCUGUCCUGGGCCAGCUGCGUGUUCACCUGUCCUGGGCCAGCUGCGUGUUCACCUGUCCUGGGCCAGCUGCGUGUUCACCUGUCCUGGGCCAGCUGCGUGUUCACCUGUCCUGGGCCAGGUGCUCCAGAGCCGUGUUUUGCCUGUGACCUUUUUCAAAAGCAACACCCCUGGUAUCUGGAUUUGUUUUCAAUCUGUACAAAAGCUUGCCCCCUAUGUAUGUAAAACCUGGAGUGGAUCAAAGCGCUGUGCACUGGGAGUCUGGUGUGUCUCCCUGGAGUGUGUGUCCUGCUGUGUCUCUCAGUGUGAGGUUUCAGGACCAGUGGAGGCUGACAACCCCUCCGGCCGCGGCGCCCCCCAAUGUCUCGGCAGGGUCUCUUUCUCUCUCUGCUCCU